ACACUGGCCCCGGAAGAGGAGGGAGGCGGUGGCUGGGAUCGGCAGCAGCCGUCCAUGGGAACACCCAGCCGGCCCCUCUCGCACGGGUAGAGACAGGGGCGCCCUGCUGGAGCUGAGCCUCAGCCUUGUCCCCCUCCUCCUCCUCCACGUCAACCUGGCCAGAGGGUCUGGACGCCACAGCCAGACCACCACCUGCUUUGGUGGCGACUGCUAAUAUUGGCCAGGCUGGCAGAUCAUCAUCCAGGCAGUUUCGGCAGAGAGCCUUGGGCACCAGUGACUCCCCAGUCCUCUUUAUCCACUGUCCAGGAGCUGCGGGGAUUGCGCAGAGACUAGAGUACAGGGGCCGAAGAGUCACCUACU